rnacentral:lncRNA from 1 species
AAAAAAUACAUUUUAUAAAAUAAAUUGUUUGCUUGUUGCUCAUGCUGGUGGAGCAGACAAACAAUCAAGCUUCAAUAAAAUAAAUAAAUAAAUAAAACACCAUGCCGUGGUGCACGUGCCGUGUAAGCCCCGCCCCCUGUUUGUUGAAUCCAUAGUCUAGAAGGGCUUCCUACACACACCCACCUCCUGCACAGCGCGCGCUCUCAGCCCCCUCCUUUCGCCGGACAGCAGCUCAUCUUUAUCCAGGUCCAUCCGUGGCCGUUAGCUGUUGGUUCGCUCCAGUGUCCUACUCUCAAAUCUGCAAAUAUGAUCAUUAGACUGGGACGCUUGACUCCUGGAUACUUCCGCCUCCUGCAGGUACGUGUAUAUAUAUAUAUUGGUAUAUGUAUAUACCAAUAUAUAUGGUAUAUAGCAGUGUGUAAGACUGGUGGAGGAGAACAUACCUAAACAUGCAUAGAAACUGUGAUUAAAAAACAGGGUUAUUCCACCAAAUAUUGAUUAUUUCUGAACUCUUAAAACUUUAUGAAUAUGAACCUGUUUUCUUUGCAUUAUUUGAGAUCUGAAAGAUCUGCAUAUUUUUUUGUUAUUUCAGCCGUUUCUCAUUUUCUACAAAUAAAUGCUCUAAAUGACAAUAUUUUUAUUUGGAC